rnacentral:tRNA from 1 species
AAAGGGAGACCUAAUUCAGGUAGGAGACGAAAAAAAGUAGUCCCUACCAAGAAUCAAUCCCAAAAGGUCGGAGCGAGGCAAAAUUGGCUUUCAAACUAGGUUCUGGGUUCACACAAGACCUGAAUCAGGAACAAGGGCUAUUAGCUCAGGUGGUUAGAGCGCACCCCUGAUAAGGGUGAGGUCCCUGGUUCGAGUCCAGGAUGGCCCACCUGCACAGGUGGCAAAAACAAGAGAAACGAGGAAUCAGCACCUUAUCUUACUUACAUAGUAAGAGAGAAUGCUGGCUCUGAGUAAAGAGUCCAGAAGAACCUUGAAAACUGCAUAGAGCUAGGUGAAAAAGCCAAAAAAGAAGACCGCAAG